rnacentral:rRNA from 1 species
UACGAAGGGGGCUGGCGUUGCUCGGAAUCACUGGGCGUAAAGGGUGCGUAGGCGGGUCUUUAAGUCAGGGGUGAAAUCCUGGAGCUCAACUCCAGAACUGCCUUUGAUACUGAAGAUCUUGAGUUCGGGAGAGGUGAGUGGAACUGCGAGUAUAGAGGUGAAAUUCGUAGAUAUUCGCAAGAACACCAGUGGCGAAGGCGGCUCACUGGCCCGAUACUGACGCUGAGGCACGAAAGCGUGGGGAGCAAACAGG